AUGGCCGCUACGCAAGGAUACAUCAGUGGGCAGGAAAUCCCACUAGAUAAUCUGCCCUCAUGGAAAAGAGAACUGAUACUUCGAAAAAGAGCCAAUGCAAGAAUCCACGGAGCAGUGGGUCUGCCUGUUCCCACACCGAUGGCUGGGAUGGGACGAGGCUCGCUGAGUGGCCCAACAUCGUCUACAUCAUCCCCGCUGAGUGGCCCGCAGGAGGCUACAUGCUCGCUGAGUGGCGCGGCUCCCCCCCACCCCCGCUCCAACACAACAACGGCAGUCAGUACUCGUGGUGUGGGUGUGCGGGGAGCUACGUGUGCCGAGGAUGCGUGGAAAGACCGAAAGUAUGCUGUAACGAGUGAUCCUCCAGCCACCACUGUCCAUACCACCAUGCACCACAAGGGCCUGCACGACGAGGGCCCGCGGGUCACCUCGCCUGCGUAUUCCUCCGUCAGUGACUCUUAUGCCACCGAGGACGAGGAGUUGCGGUAUGGCCCCGGUAUUGUGUCCAAGCUCAAGAACCGGUACAUGAGCCUUGCCAUGAGGGAGAGUCGCUCUCGACCCUCCCUUCGUAGGUUCAGCUCCUUGGAGGACCUGCUGGACAGUGAACCACGGGGCCCGGUGGCCGCUAAGCCCCGUGCUGCCCCGGACUCUGGUCCAGCGCACCGGCGGGAGGUGAUGCGGCGGGCGCGCUCCGUGGACUCCCUCAGCAGCAGGCUGGCCGAGGACUCAAGGCGUGUCCGGGCGCCUGCCAUGGCCAAGAGUAAGUCUGCCUCCAGUCACCUCCAGUCUAGUCUGAAUCCUCUCGGAAAGGAAGACGUUAUCAUCAUUGAGACAAGCAGGACUCCCGUCGCUCGGGAACCCCAGGCAGUCAACGGCGCGGCUCAUCGCGCCAUGGAGCCCUCUCGCUCCCGCCAGCGUCAGCUGUCCUCCUCUACCGUAGGAGAGGAAGAGGACCUGCCGCCCCCAGACACUGUGCGUCACGCCAAGAGAAUAUUCGAGUCCUCGGGCGGUAGACCUCCGCGGGGCACAGCGGCCCGGAUUGCUGCCCACAAGGCGGCUCAGUUCUCCAAGUCUAACGGCGUUGCCCCGGCCUCCAAGCCUGCCCUCAAGGCCAAGCCCGCCGUGGUGCCCCCCCGUAAAGUGACGCCCCCCUCUGGCCCCACCCAUCCCGUCACUAUAGAGGAAGCGAAGGUUUCUCUGAAGAAGGUCACGCAGGUGGUGCGGCCCACCCCCAGAUCAACACUGAGUGUGAGGGCCACAGCCCCGAGUGGUGAGGGCACGGCUGGCGGUGUCAGUAAGCAGGAGGCUGCGGCCAAAGAGAGGGUGCCCCUCGGCCUGACCCCCGUCACCGCCUCAGUCACAGCGCCUGUGGUGAACGGUGACCCCGCGCCCAGGCAAGCACGGGGCGAAAGUUGCAGUGCGGGCGAGGUGGAAGAAGGGGUGAGGAGGAUAUCCAGCGCCGCUGUCUCAAAUAUCAGGAGUGAGAGUCAUUCUCAGGAAUUUAACUUUACUGACCGCUCUGUGAGCUCCCCAGCAGCCCCCAAGCCAGCCUCUCCAACACCCUCCCCGCUGCCAGCCUCCCCGAUAGCCUCCCACAGGGUGCCCUCGCAUCCCCCGCUAAGUAGCAAAGUUGAGAGGGUUGAUGAGAGUGAUCGUGUCCACCUAGAAAACCUAAAGAACGUGGAAAAGUCUCGGUCGCCGCCCGUGGAUGUUCAUACCAGCCCUGUUCUCCCUCCCAAGGUGGAGUCGCCUCGACAGCCCUCACUUAACGCUGUCAAGCAGGGCAAAGUGGAGUCUGGCGUCCCAGAUCCCAGAGGAGAGGGGAAGGUCUCUCCUAAGCAAGGUUUCUCUAGGAAAGUGGAAUCCAAACCCGAGGUGCGAUCGGUGGGGGAGGUGGAGCCCGCCAAGCCCAGCCCGCCCCCCGCCGAGGAGCUGGUGAGGGGAGUCGUGGGGAGAGGCGGGCUGGUCGAGGCUUUCAACAAAACACCAGCUGGAGGCAGCCCGGGCGUCCUCGCCCCUACUAAGCCAUCGCCCAAGCGUUGGCACCAGCAGGAAAAUACCACGCUCGUGUUUAACUUCACCAGCAGCAAAAAGGAGACGCCGGACUACAUCGAGAAUGACGGCAUUGACUUGUCCCGGAGACGACCAGAGGGCAAGCUGGACUCUGGCUACGUCAUCAUGCCUGGCUGGGACGGCCGCAUGGACUCCAGCACUGACGGGGAUGACUUCGAUGACGGGCUGGACUACCUCGACAGCCGGCCAGGUGUUCCUCCGGCGCCCUCAGGCAUCGUAUUUGAGGGCGAGGCGGUCAUCAUCAACGGGAGGAGUAACCUGCAGCGGCAACCCAGGACUCGGAAGCUCAAAAUCUCCUUCGACGACACGUUAACCUCCACCUACGAGUACCCGAGUGAGAAUUACCUGCUGGAGGAGGCCGGCCUGCUGCCCCUCGAGCCCACUGAGGGAUCCUCCGCUUCCCAAGGCUUUGAAAACAGUCGUGGUGAGAGAGCGAGGUACUUCAGAAUAGUGGGCCGAUGGCGUUAACCUCCCGCACCGGACGCCCCUUGCCCCUGCCCCGCCCCUCGGGUAGUGAAGGCUGCACUGCGUUCGUUGACUCCGGACACUCAUGGGGACGUUUUCCUGGACUUCAUUGCGAAUUCCAGUGGCCUGGCUAGCUACACCCCUAGCAAGAUCCAGAUUGGUAGUACCUUUGAACUGGGAGUGUCCCGGACAGCUCCUACUGUGCAGACUUCACCUCCUGCCCCUCCUCCUCAGACGCAGAAGGCUGAGGAUGAAUAUUU
rnacentral:misc_RNA from 1 species